rnacentral:rRNA from 1 species
GACGAACGCUGGCGGCGUGCUUAACACAUGCAAGUCGAACGGAAAGGCCCUGCUUUUGUGGGGUGCUCGAGUGGCGAACGGGUGAGUAACCCGUGAGUAAUCUGUCCUUGACUUUGGGAUAACUUAAGGAAACUGGGGCUAAUACCGGAUAGGAGCUCCUGCUGCAUGGUGGGGGCUGGAAAGUUUCGGCGGUUGGGGAUGGACUCGCGGCUUAUCAGCUUGUUGGUGGGGUAGUGGCUUACCAAGGCUUUGACGGGUAGCCGGCCUGAGAGGGUGACCGGCCACAUUGGGACUGAGAUACGGCCCAGACUCCUACGGGAGGCAGCAGUGGGGAAUAUUGCACAAUGGGCGGAAGCCUGAUGCAGCAACGCCGCGUGCGGGAUGACGGCCUUCGGGUUGUAAACCGCUUUCGCCUGUGACGAAGCGUGAGUGACGGUAAUGGGUAAAGAAGCACCGGCUAACUACGUG